CCUUCAAUAGCUCAGCUGGUAGAGCGGAGGACUGUAGAUCCUUAGGUCGCUGGUUCGAUUCCGGCUCGAAGGA
rnacentral:tRNA from 2 species